rnacentral:lncRNA from 1 species
GCUACUUCAAAAAUUUAUUAGACCCAGAAUUAACAUUAGUAUAGAAUACAAAAACUAGUCCUAAAACCAGCUUCAGGCCCAUACUAUAUUCCAAUUUUUAUCAUUCAAACUAACAUGAUAGCAGGACAUAAAACAUUAAAAUUAAACUAACACUACUAAAUGGAUAUUCAUGAGUCCCAACAGUCCAAUUAUUACAUCUCUUAGAAGGUUCAACUUAUGUAACCCUCAGAUCGCAACACUUGAAUUAACAUGUUGUAAACAAAUUACAACUAUACAUAAACGUGCUAGGCAACCAAAUCAAAG